UUGGAGGGCAAGUCUGGUGCCAGCAGCCGCGGUAAUUCCAGCUCCAAUAGCGUAUAUUAAAGUUGUUGCAGUUAAAAAGCUCGUAGUUGAAUUUCGGGAUCAGUACGUUGGUCGUGCCUUAGGUACGUACUGGUGUUACUGGUUCCUACCUUCUGACGAACCAUCAUGUCAUUCAUUUGGUGUGGCGGGGAAUCAGGACUGUUACUUUGAAAAAAUUAGAGUGUUUAAAGCAGGCUCGCGCUUGAAUACAUUAGCAUGGAAUAAUGAAAUAGGACGUUGAUCCUAUUUUGUUGGUUUCUAGGAUUGACGUAAUGAUUAAUAGGGAUAGUUGGGGGCAUUAGUAUUCAAUUGUCAGAGGUGAAAUUCUUGGAUUUAUUGAAGACUAACUACUGCGAAAGCAUUUGCCAAGGAUGUUUUCAUUAAUCAAGAACGAAAGUUAGAGGAUCGAAGACGAUCAGAUACCGUCGUAGUCAUAACCAUAAACUAUGCCGACUAGGGAUCGGAUGAUGUUAAUUUUUUAAUGACUCAUUCGGCGCCUUACGGGAAAC
rnacentral:rRNA from 1 species